rnacentral:rRNA from 1 species
CACAAGAGAGCUUGCUCUCUGGGUGACGAGCGGCGGACGGGUGAGUAAUGUCUGGGAAACUGCCUGAUGGCGGGGGAUAACUAGUGGAAACGGUAGCUAAUACCGCAUAACGUCGCAAGACCAAAGUGGGGGACCUUCGGGCCUCACGCCAUCAGAUGUGCCCAGGUGGGAUUAGCUGGUAGGUGGGGUAACGGCUCACCUAGGCGACGAUCCCUAGCUGGUCUGAGAGGAUGACCAGCCACACUGGAACUGAGACACGGUCCAGACUCCUACGGGAGGCAGCAGUGGGGAAUAUUGCACAA